AUUGAACGCUGGCGGCAGGCCUAACACAUGCAAGUCGAGCGAGCGGCGGACGGGUGAGUACUGUCUGGGAAACUGCCUGAUGGCGGGGGAUAACUACUGGAAACGGUAGCUAAUACCGCAUACCAUCAGAUUUCCCCAGAUGGGGUUAGCUAGUAGGUGGGGUAACGGCUCACCUAGGCGACGAUCCCUAGCUGGUCUGAGAGGUUGACCGGCCACACUGGAACUGAGACACGGUCCAGACUCCUACGGGAGGCAGAAGUGGGGAAUAUUGCACAAUGGGCGCAAGCCUGAUGCAGCCAUGCCGCGUGAGUGAAGAAGGCCGUCGGGUUGUAAAGCACUGUCAGCGGGGAGGCGUUACCCGCAGAAGAAGCACCGGCUAACUCCGUGCCAGCAGCCGCGGUAAUAC
rnacentral:rRNA from 1 species